UCGGUCCCGGUUCACGUGCGGAUGUCCAUGUCCGCCGACCCGGUGCC
rfam:Kitasatospora cheerisanensis KCTC 2395 genomic scaffold scaffold00001, whole genome shotgun sequence.